GGAGAGAUGGCCGAGUUGGUCUAAGGCGCCAGGUUAAGGUCCUGGUCUCAUUCUUGAGGCGUGGGUUCGAAUCCCACUCUCUUCA